rnacentral:tRNA from 1 species
GGGGAUGUGGCUCAAGUGGUAGAGUGCUCGCCUGGCAUGCGUGAGGCACUGGGUUCAAUUCUCAGCACCA